ACGAACGCUGGCGGCGUGUGCUUAACACAUGCAAGUCAAGGACCGUAGCAAUACGGAAAACUGGCGCACGGGUGCGGAACAAGUAGGCAAUCUGCCCUUGGAGGGAGCACACCAGCCGAAAGGUGGGCUAAGUCUCCGUAACAUCAUAGAGUGGCAUCACUUAUUGAUCAAAUUUUUUCCAAGGAUGAGCCUGCGUCUGAUUAGAUAGUUGGCGGGGGUAACGGCCCACCAAGUCCUGCGAUCAGUAGCUGGUCUGAGAGGAUGAUCAGCCACAUUGGGACUGAGAUACGGCCCAGACUCCUACGGGAGGCAGCGUGAGGAAUAUUGCUCAAUGGGGGAAACCUGAAGCAGCAACGCCGCGUAAAGGAUGAAGGCGCUUUGCGUUGUAAACUUUUGUAGUCGGGGACAAACCGGGAGUUCCUACUCCCUGAUGGUACCCGAAAAGUAAGGAUCGGCUAACUACGUGCCAGCAUGCCGCGGUAAUACGUAGGAUCCGAGCGUUGUCCUGAUUUACUGGGUGUAAGGGUGCGCAGGCGGACUGUAAGUCCAGUGGUGAAAAUCUCGUCGCUUACGACGAAACUGCCUUGAUACAAUCAGUCUUGAAUCCGGUAGAGAUCUGUGGAAUUCCGAGUGUAGCAGUGAAAUGUGUAGAUAUUCGGAAGAACACCAGUGGCGAAGGCAGCAGAUUGGGCCGGUAUUGACGCUCAGGCACGAAAGCAUGGGGAUCAACAGGAUUAGAGACCCUGGCUAGUCCAUGCCCUAAACGAUGUUCACUUGAUGUCUGCCCUCAGGGUAGGGUGUCGAAAGCUACGCGAUAAGUGAACCACCUGGGAGUACGCUCGCAAGGGUGAAACUCAAAGGAAUUGACGGGGGCCCGCACAAGCAGUGGAGCCUGUGGUUCAAUUCGAUGCAACGCGAAGAACCUUACCUAGGCUUGAAAAGCAGUCUAAACCAGUGAAAUAGCUGGGUACCCGCAAGGGGGGCUGUACAGUGCUGCAUGGCUGUCGUCAGCUCGUGCCGUGAGGUGUUUGGUUUAAGUCCAGCAACGAGCGCAACCCCCUGGGUUUAGUUGCCAGCACGUAAUGGUGGGAAACUCUAAACCAACUGCCUACGCAAGUAGUGAGGAAGGUGGGGACGACGUCAGUCAUCAUGGCCUUACGCUAGGGCCAACACCGUGCUACAAUGGCAAACUACAACGCGCAGCAAUACCGCGAGGUGGAGCGAAUCGCUAAAAAGUUGUCUCAGUUCAGAUCGGAGUCUGCAAACUCGACUCCGUGAAGUUGGAAUUGCUAGUAAUCGAGGGUCAGCACACCCCGGUGAAUACGUUCCCGGGCCUUGUACACACCGCCCGUCACGCAAUGAAAGCCGAGGGCACACAAGACCGCCUCAUAAGCGGCUAAGGUGAAUCGGUGAUUGUGGGCG
rnacentral:rRNA from 1 species